GGCGAAAGGGAGAGUAAUACGUAGUUACGUACCCCGAGGACCGGAAUAGCCACGGGAAACUGUGGGUAAUGCCGGAUAAUAUCUUCGGAUCAAAGGGUGUGAUUCCGCCUUGGGAGCGGACUGCGUUGUACUAGCUAGUUGGUGGGGUAAUGGCCUACCAAGGCGAUGAUGCAUAGCGGGUGUGAGAGCAUGACCCGCCUCACUGGGACUGAGACACUGCCCAGACACCUACGGGUGGCUGCAGUCGAGAAUCUUCGGCAAUGGGCGAAAGCCUGACCGAGCGACGCCGUGUGCGGGAUGAAGGCCUUCGGGUUGUAAACCGCUGUCGUAGUGGAGGAAGUUGAUCGGGGUUCUCCCCGGUCAUUGACCUAUCCUAGGAGGAAGGACGGGCUAAGUUCGUGCCAGCAGCCGCGGUAAUACGAACCGUCCAAACGUUAUUCGGAAUCACUGGGCUUAAAGGGUACGUAGGCGGCGCUGUUAGUCGGGUGUGAAAUCCCUCGGCUCAACCGAGGAAUUGCGUCCGAUACUGCAGUGCUUGAGGGAGACAGAGGUAAGCGGAACUGAUGGUGGAGCGGUGAAAUGCGUUGAUAUCAUCAGGAACACCGGUGGCGAAAGCGGCUUACUGGGUCUCUUCUGACGCUGAGGUACGAAAGCUAGGGGAGCGAAGGGGAUUAGAUACCCCCGUAGUCC
rnacentral:rRNA from 1 species